rnacentral:rRNA from 1 species
CCUACGGGUGGCAGCAGUCGAGAAUUUUUCUCAAUGGGCGAAAGCCUGAAGGAGCGACGCCGCGUGGGGGAUGAAUGGCUUCGGCCCGUAAACCCCUGUCAUUUGCGAACAAAUUGAUUCAUUUAAUACAUGUAUCAUUGAUUGUAGCGGAAGAGGAAGGGACGGCUAACUCUGUGCCAGCAGCCGCGGUAAUACAGAGGUCCCAAGCGUUGUUCGGAUUCACUGGGCGUAAAGGGUGCGUAGGCGGUGAGGUAAGUCUGGCGUGAAAUCUCCGAGCUCAACUCGGAAACUGCGUUGGAUACUAUCUCGCUUGAGGAAUGGAGGGGAGACUGGAAUACUUGGUGUAGCAGUGAAAUGCGUAGAUAUCAAGUGGAACACCAGUGGCGAAGGCGAGUCUCUGGACAUUUCCUGACGCUGAGGCACGAAAGCCAGGGGAGCAAACGGGAUUAGAUACCCGAGUAGUC